rnacentral:misc_RNA from 1 species
UCCCCUUCCGUCGUCGACGCCUCCUUAUCUUCAACCAUGCCGCGUGAGAUUAAGACCCUGAAGGAGUUUCUCGCCAUCUGCUCCCGCAAGGAUGCGCGGUGCGUGAAGGUGAAGCACAACCCCAGCGCCACCAAGUUCAAGGUCCGCUGCAGCCGCUACCUCUACACGCUGGUCGUGAACGACAAGAAGAAGGCCGACAAGAUCGAGCGCUCCAUCCACCCGUCCGUGAAGAAGAUCGCCGUGACUGCCCGCUCGCACGCCAAGACGAACGCCGGCUCCAAGCAGUAAGAGUAAUGCUACCCAUCCGCGUCGUUUUGAAGACCGCCGUUCUCCUCCCCCCACUCUAUCCGUGUGGCUCCGCUCUCUCUCUCCAAAACGGUUGAAAAGGGCAUGCGAGUAGGGAGGAGGACGCCAGCCCUCGCGCGACGUGAGAGAGCCCACGGACAAGAUACGAGCUGGACAAGCUGAUGUGGUGUACCCCUCGAACGCGCGCGCAUGCGCCCUAUGAGUGUUUGUGUGUGUGUGUGUGAUGAGGGGGAUGCGCGCUACGCGUGGCGGAAAGCGCGAGCUCACUUUCGUUUCUCCUUAUUUUUUGUUUUCUUUCGAAGACAUGUGAGCCUCUGGCCACGUACCAUCGAGCACAU